rnacentral:rRNA from 1 species
UAAACGACUCUCGGCAACGGAUAUCUCGGCUCACGCAUCGAUGAAGAACGUAGCAAAAUGCGAUACUUGGUGCGAAUUGCAGAAUCCCGUGAACCAUCGAGUUUUUGAACGCAAGUUGCGCCCGAAGCCAUUCGGCCGAGGGCACGUCUGCCUGGGCGUCACGC